AGAGUUUGAUCCUGGCUCAGGAUGAAUGCUGGCGGCGUGGAUAAGGCAUGCAAGUCGAGUGGGUUUAGGCCCACGGCGAACGAGGUAGUAACACGUAGGAAUUUCCCCCGAAGUCAAGGAUAACCCGCCGAAAGGCGGAAUAAUACUUGAUGGUCUCUAAGGAGUAAAGAUUUAUCGCUUCGGGAAAAGCCUGCGGGAUAUCAGCUAGUUGGUAGGGUAAUGGCCUACCAAGGCAAUGACGUCUAGGGGAGGUGAGAGCCUGACCCCCACCGAUGGGACUGAGACACGGCCCAUACACCUACGGGUGGCUGCAGUCGAGAAUCUUCCGCAAUGGGCGAAAGCCUGACGGAGCGACGCCGCGUGAUGGAUGAAGCUCUUCGGGGCGUAAACAUCUUUUAUGAGGGAGGAAGCCGAGCAAUCGGUGUGACGGUACCUCAUGAAUAAGGACCUGCUAAACUCGUGCCAGCAGCAGCGGUAAUACGAGUGGUCCAAGCAUUAUCCGGAAUUAUUGGGCGUAAAGGGUGUGUAGGUGGUAUAGUUAGUCUUUUGUCAAAGCUCCCGGCUUAACCGGGAAAAGGCGAAAGAAACGGCUAAACUAGGAGGGUGUAAGAGGCUUGCGGAACUCAUGGUGUAGGGGUGAAAUCCGUUGAUAUCAUGGGGAACGCCAAAUGCGAAGGCAGCAGGCUGGUACAUACCUGACACUGAAACACGAAAGCGUGGGUAGCGAACGGGAUUAGAUACCCCGGUAGUCCACGCCCUAAACGAUCUUCACUAGCUUUUCGGAGUAUCGACCCUCUGAGAGGCGAAGCUAACGCGUUAAGUGAAGCGCCUGGGAAGUACGGCCGCAAGGCUAAAACUCAAAAGAAUAGACGGGGACUCGCACAAGCAGUGGAUCAUGUGGUUUAAUUCGACGCUAAACGAARAACCUCACCAGGGCUAGACAUCCAAACGAAGACUAGAGGAAACUUUAGUUGUCUCACAAGGACGGUUGGACAGGUGAUGCAUGGCUGUCGUCAGUUCGUGGUUUGAAUUGUUCCCUUAAGUGGGGUAACGAACGCAACCCUUGUCGCCUGUUAUACGUGUCAGGCGAGACUGCUCCAUUUUAUGGAGAGGAAGCGAGGAUGACGCCAAGUCAGCAUGUCCCUUUGACGCCCUGGGCUACACACAUGAUACAAUCGCCAUUACAACGGGUCGCGACGGAGAAAUCCUGAGCUAAUCCUAAUAAAAGUGGCGCCAGUUCGGAUUGAGGUCUGCAACUCGACCUCAUGAAGCCGGAAUUGCUAGUAAUCGCAGGUCAGCUAUACUGCGGUGAAUACGUUCUCGAGUCUUGUACUCACCGCCCGUCAAGCCAGGGGAGCCGGGAGUACCUAAAGUCCUAUUUCGGUAGGCCUAGGGUAAGUUCGGUAANCAAGGGUUAAGUCGUAANCAAGGUAACC
rnacentral:rRNA from 1 species